GGUUGAUCCUGCCAGUAGUCAUAUGCUUGGUAAUAUAUAUGUGGUAGAAAUUGUUAGUGUCUAAACCAAUGCGGUUAUCCGCUAAGUGACGAAUAAUAGCAAUUGUGCUAAUCGGCUUGCCGAUAUUUCAUUCAAGUUUCUGACCUAUCAGCUAUCGACGGUAGUUUAUUGGACUACCGUGGCAGUGACGGGUGACGGGGGAUUAGGGUUCGAUUCCGGAGAGGGAGCCUUAGAAACGGCUACCACAUCUAAGGAAGGCAGCAGGCGCGCAAAUUACCCAAUCCUGACACAGG
rnacentral:rRNA from 1 species